AUAAAACUUUUGUUGUUGUGGCCUGAUAGCUUAGGGAUGAAGUUCACGUGAACAUAAACUUUUUGCUAAAAUUAUUCCUUUUCUUCAAGGUCAAGUUAGAUUUUUUUUUUUUUUUUUCCGCAAAUUUACUUUGUUUCUGUCUUGAUUUCUAUUUUCUGUAUUUUUCUUUUAAUUUAAGCAACAACGACAAAGAGAAUAGGAGUUUUCUAUAAAAAAUUAUAGAAAAAGAAGAGGUUCACGUGAACCUCUUCUUUUUAGCUGAAAUUGUGUGGAGUUUGUUCUAAGUGAUUACAUUAUGAAAUGCUUCUUUAUAGGAGUGUUCUUGGUAAAGAUAUUGAAGGGGAAUUUCAAUUGCAGAAUAAGUUCAUGUGUUACAAAGCUCUAUCCAAACCAAAGUUGUUGUACUCCAUUUUCUUAUGGCUUGUGAAACUAAUCCCUCCUCAAAGAGUUUUUGGGGGUUGCUGAGAUGAUUGGGCGGAUGGACUUAGAUAAAGACAUUGACUGUUGGCAACUUGACAUAUAUGCAUCCGAUUUAUGUGGUUCUUGCUAACUUCUUCUUAGGCGUCAAUGGGAAAUAAGUCUGCCUAUCCAAGUCAGGUUUUGCAAUUUUUCCAAUGGACUUACUGGCUGAUGUAGAUACACUUCCACUACAGUAUCUUGUUUCAUUGUCACUCUUAUCUUUCAAAUGUAUUAACAAUUAUCUCUUUCUCAACUUGUAUGGUGUAUAUACAGCAAACUACUAUUUACGAUUUCCCAACAUUUACCAUUCCAAAUAAGAUACUUAGAAUUAUGAAUA